AUCCAGGCGAGAGUGCAUGCAUGCCGGCACCAGCGCCCCUCCCCGCCGACGGUGGCCACCACCACCUGCGUCGUGGCCAGCCCCGUUGCGAGCGCCCCCUCCCCUCCCCUUCCCUUCCCAUGACUCCGGCGCGAUCCUCUGAUCUCCACGGGGACCUGCGCCGCCCAAAUUCGCCUCACAUGCAUGUCGUUCCAGUGUACUGGCGGCGAUCCAUGAUCCAGCGGCUGUUGGGCUACUUUUCCUCCGCCAACAUCCGCGGUGCCGCCAAGCCGGCCCUGUUCUGUCUCCUCCUCCCUCUGGGAGGCCCGUGUCCGACAGUUGCAGGCUGUCAACGCUGGAUGUGCCAAACCUCCACCCCAUCAGGUGGAGAGUUUGAUCCCGAGCAGUGAUGAUUUUAUUUUUGCCUCCUCUGCUAGGAGGCAGAGGAACGGAGAGUGGCGGCAACGGCAGCCGCCGGUGCGAUGACGAGAACCCAGGGGUGGACACGGGAGAUCGGGUGCUCGCGCGAAGCCUCCUGCAGCACGGUCGCUCACGAGCCCACCCGGAGCUGUCCUCCCCGUGAAGGGCGCCGCCCCGCUGCACUGGAAAGGAAGCUGUCUGGAUGAAGAAAGGAUCGCGGGCUGAAUUCUUACGAACAUAGGGGUGUUUCUGUAAAAAUGAAUCGUUUUUGCAGAUUCACUUAAACAGGGAAUGCGGGUUAAUUUAUCAAAAAUGGGGGGACUUUUUUGUAAAAA